GCGAAUGGCUCAUUAAAUCAGUUAUCGUCUAUUUGAUAGUACCUUACUACUUGGAUAACCGUGGUAAUUCUAGAGCUAAUACAUGCUGCAAAGCCCCGACCUUCGGAAGGGCUGUAUUUAUUAGAUUAAAAAACCAAUGCCCUCCGGGGCUCACUGGUGAUUCAUGAUAACUUCUCGAAUCGCACGGCCUUGCGCCGGCGAUGGUUCAUUCAAAUUUCUGCCCUAUCAACUUUCGACGGCUGGGUAUUGGCCAGCCGUGGUGACAACGGGUAACGGAGGGUUAGGGCUCGACCCCGGAGAAGGAGCCUGAGAAACGGCUACUACAUCCAAGGAAGGCAGCAGGCGCGCAAAUUACCCAAUCCCGACACGGGGAGGUAGUGACAAUAAAUACUGAUACAGGGCUCUUUUGGGUCUUGUAAUUGGAAUGAGUACAAUUUAAUUCCCUUAACGAGGAACAAUUGGAGGGCAAGUCUGGUGCCAGCAGCCGCGGUAAUUCCAGCUCCAAUAGCGUAUAUUAAAGUUGUUGCAGUUAAAAAGCUCGUAGUUGAACCUUGGGCCUGGCUGGCCGGUCCGCCUCACCGCGUGCACUGGUCCGGCCGGGCCUUUCCCUCUGGGGAGCCGCAUGCCCUUCACUGGGCGUGCCGGGGAACCAGGACGUUUACUUUGAAAAAAUUAGAGUGUUCAAAGCAGGCUUAUGCUCGAAUACAUUAGCAUGGAAUAAUGGAAUAGGACGCGUGGUUCUAUUUUGUUGGUUUCUAGGACCGCCGUAAUGAUUAAUAGGGACAGUCGGGGGCAUCAGUAUUCAGCUGUCAGAGGUGAAAUUCUUGGAUUUGCUGAAGACUAACUACUGCGAAAGCAUUUGCCAAGGAUGUUUUCAUUAAUCAGGAACGAAAGUUAGGGGGAUCGAAGACGAUCAGAUACCGUCGUAGUCUUAACCAUAAACUAUGCCGACUAGGGAUCGGACGGUGUUAUUCUUUGACCCGUUCGGCACCUUACAC
rnacentral:rRNA from 1 species